GAACGCUGGCGGAAUGCUUUACACAUGGCAAAGGUCGAACGGUAAGAGGGGGCAACCCCUUGAGAGUGGCGAACGGGUGAGUAAUAUAUCGGAACGUGCCCAGUCGUGGGGGAUAACGUAGCGAAAGCUACGCUAAUACCGCAUACGAUCUAUGGAUGAAAGCGGGGGGAUCGCAAGACCUCGCGCGAUUGGAGCGGCCGAUAUCAGAUUAGGUAGUUGGUGAGGUAAAGGCUCACCAAGCCGACGAUCUGUAGCUGGUCUGAGAGGACGACCAGCCACACUGGGACUGAGACACGGCCCAGACUCCUACGGGAGGCAGCAGUGAGGAAUUUUGGACAAUGGGCGCAAGCCUGAUCCAGCAAUGCCGCGUGCAGGAUGAAGGCCUUCGGGUUGUAAACUGCUUUUGUACGGAACGAAACGGUGAGCUCUAAUACAGUUUGCUAAUGACGGUACCGUAAGAAUAAGCACCGGCUAACUACGUG
rnacentral:rRNA from 1 species